AGCGAACGCUGGCGGCAGGCCUAACACAUGCAAGUCGAACGAACCCUUCGGGGUUAGUGGCGGACGGGUGAGUAACACGUGGGAACGUGCCUUUAGGUUCGGAAUAACUCAGGGAAACUUGUGCUAAUACCGAAUGUGCCCUUCGGGGGAAAGAUUUAUCGCCUUUAGAGCGGCCCGCGUCUGAUUAGCUAGUUGGUGAGGUAAUGGCUCACCAAGGCUACGAUCAGUAGCUGGUCUGAGAGGAUGACCAGCCACAUUGGGACUGAGGCACGGCCCAAACUCCUACGGGAGGCAGCAGUGGGGAAUCUUGCGCAAUGGGCGAAAGCCUGACGCAGCCAUGCCGCGUGGAUGAUGAAGGUCUUAGGAUUGUAAAAUCCUUUCGCCGGUGAAGAUAAUGACUGUAGCCGGAGAAGAAGCCCCGGCUAACUUCGUGCCAGCCGCCGCGGUAAGAC
rnacentral:rRNA from 1 species